rnacentral:rRNA from 1 species
AGAGUUUGAUCAUGGCUCAGGACGAACGCUGGCGGCGUGCUUAACACAUGCAAGUCGAACGGUGAACCGCUUUCGGGUGGGGAUCAGUGGCGAACGGGUGAGUAACACGUGAGUAACCUGCCCUUCACUCUGGGAUAACUCCGGGAAACCGGGGCUAAUACUGGAUAUGACCUACUCGGGCAUCCGAUGUGGGUGGAAAGAUUUAUCGGUGAGGGAUGGACUCGCGGCCUAUCAGCUUGUUGGUGAGGUAAUGGCUCACCAAGGCGACGACGGGUAGCCGGCCUGAGAGGGCGAUCGGCCACACUGGGACUGAGACACGGCCCAGACUCCUACGGGAGGCAGCAGUGGGGAAUAUUGCACAAUGGGCGAAAGCCUGAUGCAGCGACGCCGCGUGAGGGAUGAAGGCCUUCGGGUUGUAAACCUCUUUCAGCAGGGAAGAAGCGAAAGUGACGGUACCUGCAGAAGAAGCACCGGCUAACUACGUGCCAGCAGCCGCGGUAAUACGUAGGGUGCAAGCGUUGUCCGGAAUUAUUGGGCGUAAAGAGCUUGUAGGCGGUUUGUCGCGUCUGCUGUGAAAUUUCGGGGCUCAACCCCGAACUUGCAGUGGGUACGGGCAGACUAGAGUGUGGUAGGGGAGACUGGAAUUCCUGGUGUAGCGGUGAAAUGCGCAGAUAUCAGGAGGAACACCGAUGGCGAAGGCAGGUCUCUGGGCCACUACUGACGCUGAGAAGCGAAAGCAUGGGGAGCGAACAGGAUUAGAUACCCUAGUAGUCC